rnacentral:rRNA from 1 species
AUUGAACGCUGGCGGCAGGCCUAACACAUGCAAGUCGAACGAGUGGCGGACGGGUGAGUAAUGUCUGGGAAACUGCCCGAUGGAGGGGGAUAACUACUGGAAACGGUAGCUAAUACCGCAUACCAUCGGAUGUGCCCAGAUGGGCUUAGCUAGUAGGUGGGGUAACGGCUCACAUAGGCGGCGAUCCCUCGCUGGUCUGAGAGGUUGACACGCCACACGGGAACUGAGACACGGUCCAGACUCCGACGGGAGGAAGCAGUGGGGAAUAGUGCACAAUGGGCGCAAGCCUGAUGCAGCCAUGCCGCGUGUAUGAAUAAGGCCUUCGGGUUGUAAAGUACUUUCAGCGAGGAGGCGUUACUCGCAGAAGAAGCGCCGGCUAACUCCGUGCCAGCCGCCGCGGUAAUAC